rnacentral:rRNA from 1 species
GAGUUUGAUCUUGGCUCAGAACGAACGCUGGCGGCGUGGAUAAGACAUGCAAGUCGAACGCGACUUAUUUGAUUAGCAAUAAUUAGAUAAGUUGAGUGGCGAAAGGGUGCGUAACACGUGGGAAUUUACCAAAAAGUGGGGGAAUAGCUUGGCGAAAGCCAAAAUUAAUACCGCAUGUGAUCGAAAGAUCAAAGUCGGGGACCGCAAGGCCUGACGCUUUUUGAGAAGCCCGCGGCCCAUCAGCUAGUUGGCGAGGUAAAAGCUCACCAAGGCUAUGACGGGUAGCUGGUCUGAGAGGACGACCAGCCACACUGGAACUGAGACACGGUCCAGACACCUACGGGUGGCAGCAGUCGAGAAUUUUUCACAAUGGACGAAAGUCUGAUGGAGCGACGCCGCGUGGAGGAUGAAGGUUUUCGGAUUGUAAACUCCUGUCACUGCAGAACAAGGUACGCUAGUUACAGCCAGCGUAUUUGAUGGUAUGCGGAGAGGAAGGGACGGCUAACGUCUGUGCCAGCCGCCG